UACAGAGGUCCCAAGCGUUGUUCGGAUUCACUGGGCGUAAAGGGUGCGUAGGCGGUCGGGCAAGUCUGAUGUGAAAGCCCCGAGCUCAACUCGGAAAUGGCAUCGGAAACUGCCCGGCUAGAGGAGUGGAGGGGGGAUUGGAAUUCUCGGUGUAGCAGUGAAAUGCGUAGAUAUCGAGAGGAACACCCGUGGCGAAGGCAAAUCCCUGGACACCUCCUGACGCUGAGGCACGAAAGCUAGGGGAGCAAACAGG
rnacentral:rRNA from 1 species